AUCACUCUCUCCUGCUGCCACGUGAAGAAGAUAUUUGCUUCCCCUUUGCCUUCCACCAUGAUUGUAAGUUUCCUGAGGCCUCCCAUUCAUGCUUCCUGUUAAGCCUGCAGAACCGCUUGGGUCCCAGCUCCAAAAUGUCUCAUUAUCUGUAUUUGAAUAUCCCCAAAUUUGAAAAAUUCAAAAUCUGAAACACUUCUGAUCCCAAGCAUUUCAGACUCCUAAGAGUUAAUACGAAGUAGAAAGAGAAGUUGGAGUUAAGCAGCUCGUUCCAGUUCUGAUUUUGCCAUUUCCUGUCUGAGUGACCUGAGUUGCUGACAUCUAGGAUGACUUGGGAAGUUACACGUUGAGUACAGAAGAGCCUUUCUCAGCCCAGGUUCCUGAAUGUUAUGUGUGAAGCAGAGCACUCCUGCUCUCAUAACCAAUUAGUGACUGGACAAGAAAUAAACUUCUCUUGUCUUAAGCCUUAGAAAUUUUGGAUUUGUUAACACUUCGAAUUGCCUUAACUUUUAUGACAUGCCACACAUUUUCCAUGCUCUGAACAGUGAAAGACUCAUAGAAUGUAGUGUUUAACAUGAUCUCUUUGUGAAGUGAUCAUCAAUGUAGGAUUCCUCCAAAGAAGAAACAAUGACAACUCAUCCCAUCCUCACUGAUCCUUUU
rnacentral:lncRNA from 1 species